rnacentral:rRNA from 1 species
GACGAACGCUGGCGGCGUGCUUAACACAUGCAAGUCGAACGGUAAGGCCCUUCGGGGUACACGAGUGGCGAACGGGUGAGUAACACGUGGGUGAUCUGCCCUGCACUUCGGGAUAAGCCUGGGAAACUGGGUCUAAUACCGGAUAGGACCACUGCCUGCAUGGGUGGUGGUGGAAAGCUUUUGCGGUGUGGGAUGGGCCCGCGGCCUAUCAGCUUGUUGGUGGGGUGAUGGCCUACCAAGGCAACGACGGGUAGCCGGCCUGAGAGGGUGACCGGCCACACUGGGACUGGGAUACGGCCCAGACUCCUACGGGAGGCAGCAGUGGGGGAUAUUGCACAAUGGGCGCAAGCCUGAUGCAGCGACGCCGCGUGAGGGAUGACGGCCUUCGGGUUGUAAACCUCUUUCAGCACCGACGAAGCGCAAGUGACGGUAGGUGCAGAAGAAGGACCGGCCAACUACGUGCCAGCAGCCGCGGUAA